GACGAACGCUGGCGGCACGCCUAACACAUGCAAGUCGAACGGAGAAAGGGAGCUUGCUCCUUGGAUCAGUGGCGGACGGGUGAGUAACACGUGAGCAACCUGCCUUUCAGAGGGGGACAACAGUUGGAAACGACUGCUAAUACCGCGUAACGUAUUUUGGAGGCAUCUCCGAAAUACCAAAGGAGCAAUCCGCUUUGAGAUGGCCUCGCGUCCGAUUAGCUGGUUGGUGAGGUAACGGCCCACCAAGGCAACGAUCGGUAGCCGGACUGAGAGGUUGAACGGCCACAUUGGGACUGAGACACGGCCCAGACUCCUACGGGAGGCAGCAGUGGGGAAUCUUCCGCAAUGGGCGAAAGCCUGACGGAGCAACGCCGCGUGAGUGAUGACGGUCUUCGGAUUGUAAAGCUCUGUCUUUAGGGACGAUAAUGACGGUACCUAAGGAGGAAGCCACGGCUAACUACGUG
rnacentral:rRNA from 1 species